rnacentral:rRNA from 1 species
UACGGAGGGAGCGAGCGUUGUUCGGAAUUACUGGGCGUAAGGGCGCGCAGGCGGCUUCGCAAGUUGGGAGUGAAAUCCCCGGGCUUAACCCGGGAAUUGCUUUCAAAACUGCAAAGCUAGAGUCUCGGAGAGGUUAGCGGAAUUCCCAGUGUAGAGGUGAAAUUCGUAGAUAUUGGGAGGAACACCAGUGGCGUAAGCGGCUAACUAGACGAGUACUGACGCUCAGGCACGAAAGCGUGGGGAUCAAACAGG